UGCAGCAACGCCGCGUGAGGGAUGACGGCCUAUCGGGUUGUAAACCUCUUUUAGUAGGGAAGAAGCGAAAGUGACGGUACCUGCAGAAAAAGCACCGGCUAACUACGUGCCAGCAGCCGCGGUAAUACGUAGGGUGCAAGCGUUGUCCGGAAUUAUUGGGCGUAAAGAGCUCGUAGGCGGUUUGUCGCGUCUGCUGUGAAAUCCCGAGGCUCAACCUCGGGCUUGCAGUGGGUACGGGCAGACUAGAGUGCGGUAGGGGAGAUUGGAAUUCCUGGUGUAGCGGUGGAAUGCGCAGAUAUCAGGAGGAACACCGAUGGCGAAGGCAGAUCUCUGGGCCGUAACUGACGCUGAGGAGCGAAAGCAUGGGGAGCGAACAGGAUUAGAUACCCUGGUAGUCCAUGCCGUAAACGUUGGGCGCUAGAUGUAGGGACCUUUCCACGGUUUCUGUGUCGUAGCUAACGCAUUAAGCGCCCCGCCUGGGGAGUACGGCCGCAAGGCUAAAACUCAAAGGAAUUGACGGGGGCCCGCACAAGCGGCGGAGCAUGCGGAUUAAUUCGAUGCAACGCGAAGAACCUUACCAAGGCUUGACAUACACCGGAAACGGCCAGAGAUGGUCGCCCCCUUGUGGUCG
rnacentral:rRNA from 1 species